AGAGUUUGAUCCUGGCUCAGGACGAACGCUGGCGGCGUGCUUAACACAUGCAAGUCGAACGAUGAACCGGUUUCGGCCGGGGAUUAGUGGCGAACGGGUGAGUAACACGUGGGUAAUCUGCCCCGCACUCUGGGAUAAGCCCGGGAAACUGGGUCUAAUACCGGAUAUACAUCGAUGGUCGCAUGGCCUGUCGGUGGAAAGCUUUUGCGGUGUGGGAUGGGCCCGCGGCCUAUCAGCUUGUUGGUGGGGUGAUGGCCUACCAAGGCGACGACGGGUAGCCGGCCUGAGAGGGUGACCGGCCACACUGGGACUGAGACACGGCCCAGACUCCUACGGGAGGCAGCAGUGGGGAAUAUUGCACAAUGGGCGAAAGCCUGAUGCAGCGACGCCGCGUGAGGGAUGACGGCCUUCGGGUUGUAAACCUCUUUCAGCAGGGAAGAAGCGCAAGUGACGGUACCUGCAGAAGAAGCACCGGCUAACUACGUGCCAGCAGCCGCGGUAAUACGUAGGGUGCAAGCGUUGUCCGGAAUUAUUGGGCGUAAAGAGCUCGUAGGCGGCUUGUCGCGUCGGUUGUGAAAGCCCGGGGCUUAACCCUGGGUCUGCAGUCGAUACGGGCAGGUUAGAGUUCGGCAGGGGAGACUGGAAUUCCUGGUGUAGCGGUGAAAUGCGCAGAUAUCAGGAGGAACACCGGUGGCGAAGGCGGGUCUCUGGGCCGAUACUGACGCUGAGGAGCGAAAGCGUGGGGAGCGAACAGGAUUAGAUACCCUGGUAGUCCACGCUGUAAACGGUGGGAACUAGGUGUGGGCAGCAUUCCACGUUGUCUGUGCCGUAGCUAACGCAUUAA
rnacentral:rRNA from 1 species